rnacentral:lncRNA from 1 species
CUCGGUCUCCCUGCAACAUCAGGCUUGAGUUUUCUUUAUCUACCGCUCGCUAGAGGCCUUCUUCCCUUCUUCAGCCGUGGCUUCUUCCUGUGACUUCCUUGUUUCCGUGAGCCUCUUUCUUCUUUGCUGUUCAUAGCAUAUGUAACAAGGGAAGAUAAGAUUUUGAUAUUCAUUUGAUCUACCAUUGGAGCCGUAGAAAGGUUGCUUUGCAUACUACACUUUUGAUCUGUCAUUGUGGCUGCAGAAGGGUUGAUCCGAUCGGUUAUUUUGCCUUAUAUUUGGUUUAUUUUUGCCUCCUAUUGUGAUCAUUUGGCAGUCCAUAUUUUGGGCUUUUAUGUAUCUUUGUUUGUACCCUAUUGGGAAGAUUGACAUAGUGGAUUGCUCCUCCUCCCCGUGGAUAUAGG